UGUUGUUUAUGCUAUAUGGAUUAAUAUACUUAAACUAAUUCAUAAUAAUAAUAUAUUAAUGUAAAUAUAUAACAAUAUAUAUAUAUAUAUAUAUGAGGUGCUUAUUAUGCAAGUGGUGUAAGUCCACCAAUGACCAUAAAUGAUCUUUCUGGCAGGGCAGUAUCAUUAUCAUACAAAUUGUUAGUAUGCAAGUUGUGUAAGAGCACAGUUGCCACUUUCUGCCCAUAGAUAGCAACUCUAACUUGGCUAAUAAUCAGAUAUCCACAAAUGCUUCCUGUGCAAGUGGUGCAAAUCCAAACAGCAAAUUGUAAAUAGUGGGCCUGUCUUGAGACAAAGUGCAGGUAGUUGCAAUUUCUUAAUUCAAACCCACAAUUAAGUAUUCACAACACUUGUUUGAAAUUGAGAGUUUCUGUAGAUAAAAGUCUGACAAUAAUUGUAAAAAUAUUCAGGUUUGCAAAUAUGAUGUGCUUAUAAAAGAAAUUUCAUAAUGUUAUUGUAGGACUUACACUACUUGCACAAUGGAUGAUAAUGGUAUAGAAAAUGAAGCAGGUUGCUCAGAUAGUGAUAUUUCAAGAAAUAAUCAGGAUAUUGGUCAUAGUAGAAAACACAAUAGAAAUCCAACUGAAUGCAAAGCCAAUAUAAGAAAGACUCAGAAAUUCAGGGCAACAGUAUUCCAAGAGAACAGGAAAGGAUGUUCCAACAAAACAAUGAACCAAAAAGACUAUAUAUGUUUUUGAAAGUGUGUGGACCAGAAUUUGCAGACCAGCAGGCAGGAGUUAUUUGAAACAUUCUGGAAAAUGGAUGACUAGGGCAAACAAAAUGCCUACAUCACUGGUCAGCUGUAAUAUAAGCCUAUCAACCACAGGCAUCUGAAGAUUCUACUCACAAUUCAAGAGUAUAUAUCUAUAAAUAUUACUGCUCAGUUACAUCCAACAUGAUUUGUGUCUUCAAGCAGUUUUUUCUUAGGAACAUUCAGUUUAUCUAAUAGGAGAUACAUUAGAUUAUUGAAAGAUACGUAGAGAAGGUGCAGUACUGGGAGCAAACAACAAGAUUGGGAAGCACCUACCAUCUGCCAAUUGACAUUAGAUUAUUGAAAGAUACGUAGAGAAGGUGCAGUACUGGGAGCAAACAACAAGAUUGGGAAGCACCUACCAUCUGCCAAUUGACAUUAACAUAGUAGUAUUUCGAGUAAAGGAGCACAUUGAAAUACACAAGUCACUAUUCCCAAUAUAAAAAUCCACACAAAUUGUAUCUCAAUGCUGAUUUAAUUGUGUGAAAAAUAUACAAUUUUUACUGUCAUAAUUGUGAGGCAGAAGAUGUAUCCAUUGUACCCUACAGGCCAUACAUCACUGAACCAAUCAAGAAGGACAUGAUAUCCUUAUAUAUCCAUUCAUUUUACAAGUUUUUUAACAACUUGCCAACAGCAACUUCUGUACAGCCAGCAGUAAAUGAUGAUAACAUUGUUACAAAUAAUGACUACCAUUAUAAUUGGCCUUGGUUGUUAUUUAAUGAAUAAAAAUAAAAACGCUGAAAAUAAUCUCAAUAUUAUUGCAUUCUAUUGAUUUAUGUCAUUGCAGGAGAAAGAGAACUUUUGGUGCAAUGGCUUGUAAUACAAGAGGUGAAGGAAACAGUUGAAAGGGCAAAUGGCAAAAGUGCAUUGGAACCAUUGUUGCAGCCACUAUGGAUUCCAUCUGCAUUUAAUAAAUGCAUUAUAGGAAUUCCACAGGUAUGUAGUGUGCAGUGUAGCGGUAUCAUGGACAUCCAUGUGGCUGGGAUUUUUUAUAUUAAAAAAACUUUAACAAUUCAUAUCUCUAAUUGGAGAAAAAUAGACUUACACCACUUGCAUAAUAAGUACCUUAUAUAUUAAACAAUAGUAUAUUAACCAGUUUCUAACAUUUAUAAAUGUUCUUUCUUAAUUAAAUUAUAUGUCUGU
rnacentral:lncRNA from 1 species